rnacentral:lncRNA from 1 species
AUCAUAUGUUUAUAGGCUUCUCCUGAAUGUAAGCACAUACUUUGCAACCCCAGAACUGGACGAAUACAUUGUAUGAGUCACAAACGAUUGAAGCCUACCACGGUGGAAGGCCACGAAAGAGUGUUCAAAGCACUCUCACGCUUUUCAACUUAAUAUUGGUUUGGUUGAGGGUUUUAGGUCUCAUCACAUAUAAACAUACAUUUUAAUCUCUAUUAAAACUAUUUGGUCCUAUUACAACUAUUGGUCCAUAUGAUUGAUUUAGUUGUAUAUAAUACUCCCACUAUGCUUAUAAAACGAUUUUUAAAGCAAGAGUAUAUGAUACUACUAACAUAACCUUUGCAUUCAUUUGAUGGACUAUAUAGUUGCCUUAGAGCCUUAGGAUGAUUAUGAACCUUUGUUUAGAUUCAACACGAGCCUUGUGUUGAAUCUCGGUCUAGGGAUGGUGAUUGAUUUUAGUUACGCGUUUAAUCACAUUAAGGCGUGUUGUCUUAGGGGCGUUGGACCCAACUACUUCAUUUUCAUGCAUAUCAUAUAAAGCAAGAAAGAAGUACUUCAAAGUAAAGGUGAGCUUAUGCUCAUUACAACAUUUGCAUAAAACAAAUUACUUUAAAGUAAAGAAGAGCUUAAGCCCUUUUACAACAUUUGAUCAAAUCAAAUUACAACCAAAAUCUAAUCUACACAUUCCCAUGGUUCAAACAAAUUUGAAACGGCCUUUCACAUAGCUCAAUUAUAUUAGGCAUAGGUUCAUAAUCACCCUUUAAUUAAUUAACACUUUAACUAAUUAAAUUGAAUGCAACAUUUUCAUUUGGUUUUUGUAUCCAUAAAAUUGAUUUAAAUGGAGCUAAACAAAAUGAAAAUCCAAUUCUCAUUUAAAGAGACAAAACAAUUUUGUUCUCUACCUAAUUUGGGCCAUCAUGCAAUAACCACAACUUUUGGGCCAUAAAGCAAUUAACCUCAACUUUUGGGCUAUAUUGCAAAACUUUUGGGGUCACUUUGUAAAGACACAAAAGUCCACUACUUCAUGUAAUUACACUAGAACCCAAAAUUUAAUCAAUGCAAAAACUUCAUUAAAGGAGCAAAACAAUUUGUCCUUUAGCGUUUUUGGACCUAAACGUAAAAACGUAAACCUUUGGGCCAAAGUGCAAAUACACAAAAGUAUCAAAACUUUAUGUAAUUGCAUAAAAGACCCAAAAGUACUCCCAUUGAGGGAGGGCCGGUUUUUAGAGAGGGAAAGGGAGUGGAGAUAAGUCCACAAAAAUUUGGAAAAUUUUUCAACAAUUUCAUAAAGCCUUGCAAGUGGAAUUUGUGACAUAAAUUCAUGCAAGUGGUAUGUGACUUAAAGUCAUGCAAGGGAUGUGUGUGUAAGAGAAGUACUUCUUACACACCUAUCACCAUUUCCAUCACCUUACACAAUUUCUAUCACAUUAAAACAUUUGAUAAAGCACAAAACAAAGACUUUAUGAAAUAAAUCAAAACUUUGAAUCAAAACACAAACCUUUUUGUUCUUGGAAAAAAUGUCAAGAACAAUGAAGAACACUCAUGAAAAAACUCAAAAUUUUCCAUGAACAUUUUUCACCCAAAAACAUUCCAAAACCAUUCAAACUUUACGGAAAUAACAUCUAACCAAACUAGGGUACAUAGGGGUUCCAAAAGUCACUUUAAAAGACUUUUAACAAGUCAAACAAGAACCCAAAAAUCCACCCUUUGGAUUUGGCCGAAAAUCCCCAAAGUCAUGGCACCAAAUUUUAGCUCCAAUAUUCAUGCUCAUAUGAACUACAUCUACAACAUUUGAGAUGGCAAAUUUUCUAACAAAAUUUACAUUCAAAGAAACAAGAAUAAAGCUUAUAACAAUUACAACUUUUAAAUCACAAACUAUGAACCACAAAACCCAAAAGGAUUCACCAACUACUAGACCUAGGCUCUGAUACCACUUGAAGGAUUAUUUUGUGAAAACAUGUUCAUUUAAGCAACAUCAAUAAGCAUGCAAUUAACAAUUAAAGGCGGAAUCAAAACCUAGUAGAUUGGUGAACCAAAAACAAAACAUUAACCAAGAAAUUCAAAGCCUAGUAGAUUGGUGAACCAAAACUCAACUCAAAACAAAGUGAGUUGAAAUUUAUACCUUUGUAGAUUCCUCUUUGCAUAAGCAAAGGCUAAUCACCCAAAGAGAGGGCCUUCAUUCCUUGCAUCUUAAAUCUAUGGAUUUGGAUGGAUGAAUAGGUUUCUCCAAGUUCCCAAAAUUGAGAACCUCUAAGUCUCUUCACCAAGGAGAGAUUGGAGAAGAAAUGAGUGACCUUGGAGUAGUGGGAUUGCAAGAUGCACCCCCAAGGUGGCCGGCCUCUUUAGAGAGAAAUGGAGAGACAUGUUCUCUCCAAUUUUCUCCAAAACAAACCCUUAAUGAAUUUUGGCUAUAAAGUCAUAUUUAUACCUUUAUUCAUUUGAGUGGCAAACUUGUAAAUAAGUCCAAGUUCACUACCCUUAGCAUCAUGGCCGGCCAUUAGGAUAUUUUGGACUAAUUGGGCCUUUGUGAAUCAUUAUUCAUUAAGUUGUCAUACAACUUAAGUUAAUGGGCUUGACGUUCGAAGCCCAUUGGGCCUUAAGGUCCAAAACUAUCCCGAGGUCUUUAACGAACUUAUUCGUUUGAUUAAUUAACAUAUUAAUUAAUCAUUGCCAUAAAUAAAUGAUUAAACCAUUUAAUCAUUCUUACUCAUCUCCAUUGUUUCUUCAAUCUCCACCUUACACGGUGUGCGAUCCAUUAGGUUCCUUUUAGCGAGGCAGUGGGCGAUUAAAACCAUUUUAUAUCGAUUGUGAAUUGAAACUUACUUUCAAUUCUCCCUUUAGUGAUUACACACGUUUAGGGCUUCCACAAACCAUGAGUGACACCUUGCAGCAUAUCAUGGUUACCCAAGCUAAACAGAAGAGGUAGAGAAAACCUAUUCAGUUUGGGAUUACAAAUGCAAUACGGUCUUUCUCUAAUACAAUACUCUUGACCACAUUGUUUGGUUUUGAUAGUUUAUUUAUUCAUGUCUACUAUCCAAUGUGAUUCGUGUGCUUAUAUGAUUACCUUGAAUGUGAUUUGGAACGCAUUCCUAAAUCUCAUUCAUACUCUGGCCAGAGAUUCUAAAUCAUAUCAUAGAGUAUUCUCCCCCAACGGUUUGAAGGUUAGAGAUCCCUUGUUGCGCAUUCACUUGCCUCCAUGGCUAAGUGGCUUAACCCCAACGAUGCCGUGGACACUCCAAUGGAAUGACGUUUGACAUAAUCAAAGAUCAAGGACUUAACCACAAGACAACUGUGAUGCCUCAGGUCAAAGGACUACUUUGCAUUAUCCCAACCAUGAGUUCUCAUGUGACAUGAGUAUGAGAACUCUUCGUUGAUCGCAUUCAGUGAACUCAUUCUCUACUGAGCACCUACGUACUUGUCUUGAUGUCACACACACCAAUGACUCGAGCUAGUCACUCUCCUUGAGAGAAGACAUAGCACGUACCGAUCUUGACGGACUGUCAAUGCCCAAUUGACAAUCCUAUGAUCAGGAACAUUUAGGAUGUGUCUACGAAAGAAUGGUCUCAUGAAUCUAACUUCAUUAGAUUGCAUUCUCCCAAUCACAUAUUCCUUGGACUUUAUCGUUUAAGCAUAUAACAUUUAUAUGAGACGGCUCAAACAAUAAUAUUUGCCCUUUAUAUUUAAACUAGAUUAGUUUAACAUGUGAAAUGUCCGUAAAGUAUCAUCAUAUGAUUGGCUUUAGGGCACAUUUCCAACAGUUCCCUAUAUGAACAGCAUGAUAGAGAUACGUUCAAAGAUCAUUAAAUUCCAUGGAAAUCAUAAGCAUUGACAAGGCAAUUAUAACUAUGAACUGCAUGAUACUUUUGUCAAGAAUCUACUUAACACGAUUGUGACUAACAAUCUCCACUACUUGUAAUUAUAAGUUUCUAACGAUUAGGUGAAAGUCCCUUAUAAUUUAGCAUCAGAUUCAAGCAUGCAAACUAAGUAGGCCUCCUUAAUCAACACACAAGAAUAAGUUAUCAAUCAAAUAGAUAAGUAAAACGCAUUCAUAUUUUACGAAACAAUAACUGAAAGGAAUCAAUUCAUAUUAACAUAUAUCCAUGGCUUCGAAUUCACCACUAACUAAUAAGAAUUUAGUUCCACAUGUUCAUAGCAAUUGAAAAGCAAAUUGAAAUAAACAUCAAAACUGAAACGAGGGAAGAAAGAACUCUUAAAACUCCCAAGGAUGCAGAUGGCUUGCGCACAAGGCCUUCCUUCAUCAAUGGAAUGCACGGCAAAGCUCUCCUUCUUCUCCAAAAGGUACGGCAGAGAUGUAUAUGGAUGUAGGAUGGUGUUUUGUGAUGUAGAAUGGUGGUUAGGGUUGAGGCAAAGGUAUUUCUGAAUGGUAUGAAGGGUUGUGACGAAUUUAGGCUUUAAAACAUCUAUUUAUAGGCUAGGGUUUCCAUAAAAUCUGAUGGGAAAGGGUUAGGGUUUUGGAGAUAAAAGGCUUGGCCUAUCCAAGGGAGAAAAUAAUUAGGGUUUUAUGCAGAUUUUUUAGGCUUCUAGAACACUAGGUGCGGCACAACCCUAGGGUAGAUGGAUUAGGGUUUAAACUUAGCAAAAAAUAAAGGAUCAGGGCCCUAGGGUGCGGCAUGGGCUUAGAACAAAGCUGAAAAAGGAUUAGGAAACUUCCAAUUCAAUAAUAGAAACUUUCAAGAAUGGAAACCUCCAAGAAUAACAACUUCCAACUUUAGAAACUUUGGUUUCCAAUUCUGAACUCUUUGUUCUUCAUUUUCAUUUCUUCAUUCAUUAUUCAUUCCUAGCCUCAUUUGAUCUUCAAUUUCGUCCAUUCCUUUAGAUCCAAGCAUGUGCUAUCCAUUUAGUGCCCAAAACUGCUCCAAAAUGCUCCAAAAUGCACUUUCUUGCCAACUUUGUCAUUUGGACCUACAAACACACGAAAAUAGCUUAAAACACUAUAAUAACCACAAACUAACUAUAAAAGUGCAAGAAAACAAGCUAACUAAGUCGCAUAAAUAUGCUCCUAUCAGUAAGUACUUCAACGCUGCAUGGUCAGAAUAAAUAAUGACUUUAGUUCUAAUUAAAUAAAAACGAAACUUAUCUAAAGAAAAUACAACAGCAACAAGUUCUUUUUCAGUGGUGGAAUAGUUCAAUUGAGCAUCAUUCAAGGUGCGGGAUGCAUAAUAGAUGACGUGGGGCUGCUUGUUCUUCCGUUGGCCUAAAACAGCUCCAAUUGCAUAAUCUGAGGCAUCACACAUGAGCUCAAAAGGAAGACUCCAUUCUGGUGGAGUUAUGAUAGGGGCCGAAGUAAGCAUCUCCUUGAGGUGUUUGAAGGCUUUCUCACACUCCUUCUUGAACUUAAAUGGCACUUCUUUUUUAAGGAGACAACAAAGGGGCUGUGCAACCUUGGAAAAGUCCUUGAUGAAUCGCCUAUAGAAUCCUGCAUGUCCAAGAAAAGAACGAACCUCUCUAACCGAAGUAGGGGAGGGUAAGUAGCGUACAAGAUCUAUUUUCAACUUAUCAACCUCAAUUCCCUUUUUUGAGAUUAUGUGACCCAAAACUAUACCUUGUUUUACCAUAAAAUGACACUUUUCCCAAUUCAAAACAAGGUUAGUUUCAAUGCAGCGUUUUAAGAUCAAAGUGAGAUUAGAUAAGCAUUCAUCAAACGAAUCACCAAAAACACUAAAAUCAUCCAUGAAUACUUCAAUGCUCUUUUCCACAUAAUCUGAGAAAAUACUCAUCAUGCAUCUUUGAAAUGUGGCAGGUGCAUUGCAUAAACCAGAAGGCAUUCUACGGUAAGCAAACGUACCAAAUGGGCAUGUGAAAGUGGUAUUUUUUUGGUCAUCCGGAGUUAUGACAAUCUGAUUAUAACCUGAAUAACCAUCAAGAAAACAAUAAAAUGUAUGACCAGCUAGCUAAACUUUCAAGCAUUUGAUUAAUGAAUGGCAGAGGGAAGUGAUCAUUCCUUGUCAUGGCGUUGAGCUUCCUAUAAUCAAUGCAAACUCUCCAACUUGUUCGGAUACGGGUAGGCACAAGCUCAUUCUCUUCAUUCUCCACCACAGUAACUCCAGAUUUCUUUGGAUCAACUUGGAUCGGCGAAACCCAACAAUUAUCAGAAAUUGGAUAGAUUACCUUACAAUCAAGUAGCUUGAAAAUCUCAUUGAAGGGUUGAGACGGCAUUGAGCCUCUCGAGAUGGUUUAGCCUCCUCCUCCGAAAGUAUACGAUGCAUGCAAGUGGUAGGGCUUAUUCCCUUGAUGUUGCCCAAGAUCCAUCCAAUGGCUGUUUUGUAUUCCUUCAACAUUCUCACCAACUUCCCUUCUUCUUGUGCCGUGAGUAAGGAAGAGACUAUGACCGGCAAAGUCUCUUGGUUGCCUAGGAAAACAUACUCCAAAUGGCUUGGUAAAGGUUUAAGUUCAAGGGAAGGUGCGUGAAUCACUGAAGGAAACAUUUUAUUAGUAGAAACAGAAUCUGAAUUUGAGAUUAGAAGCUUACCAUAUUGUGGUGGCAAUGACUCAAGGGCAGCAACCAUUUCAAUUACUUCUUCACUAGAGGGCACGGCAUGGGUUGUUUCAUGCAUGUCAUGGGUAUGCUUAGAUUUUGUCCCUUCAUUUUUGAGUCCCACUCCAUUCGUAAUGACCGUUUCAAGUGCAUCUUCAUGUAAUUGCUCAUGAUGUUUAUGCGCCAAUAAAUCAAUAAUAUCAAUAGGGAAACAAGAAUGGUCAUCAUUAGGAUAUCUCAUAGCUUCAGAAAUAUUGAAAUCAAUAACUUCCCCAUCAAAUUCCAUUGACAGUGUCCCUUUGAACACAUCGAUCUUAGUGCGAGCUGUUUUCAUGAAUGGUCGUCCAAGCAAGAUUGGCAAUGGUGUAGCAUGGGCCGAAUCCUCCAUCUCUAACACAUAGAAGUCAGCUGGGAAUACCAAGUGAUUAACCUGCACUAAAACAUCCUCCAAAACUCUGGAUAAGCAUUAGAGCGAUUGGCCAAUUGAAUAAUCACUCCAUCAUGUUUCAAUUCACCUAAGUUCAUAGAUCCAUAAAUUGAAUAUGGCAUGACAUUAAUUGAUACACCUAAGUCUAACAUGGCAUGUUCAAACCUAAUAUUACCAAUGACACAAGGAAUUGUAAAACUACCAGGAUCUUAGCAUUUGGUUGGCAGUUUUCGUUGCAAAAUGGCUUAAACGUUUUCACUUACCUUUACAACUUCUUUGUUAGAAAUCCUUUUCCUUGUUGUACAAAGUUCUUUUAAAAACUUAGCAUGCCUUGGAACUUGUUUAAUUGCAUCAAAGAGAGGGAUAUUCACUUGCACCUUUCUAAACGUCUCCAGAAUGUCCUUUUCACUCUCUUCCUUCUUUGAUUGCAUAAUUCUGCGAGGGAAAGGAACAUGGGGUGGAAUAGGGUUAGAAUUAAUCGAAAUUGAACCCUUCUUACCUGUGUUGGAUGAAUUGGACAGAUUAAGGAGUGUAGGAGGCUGCGGCAAGGAUUGAGCAAUCCUUGCCGUGGGGUUGUCUUGCUCUUCCUCUUCGAAUUGCAGUUUCUUGUCCUCAUUUUGGGCAGAUUUGGAUGGUUAUGGAUCGACUCCAACUUCUUUUCCACUUCUUAAUGUAAUGGCCUUGGCAGAUUCAAACCCUCCCUUCGGAUUCACAGUGGUUGAACUCGGCAAUCUGCCUUGCCCUCUAAAUUGGCCCAUGAAUUCCGCCAUUUGCCCUAUUUGUUUCUUUAGUUCGUUCACUUCUUUGGCUUUGUUUUGCUGUCUAUGCGCCAAAGUGGUUAGUAAUUGAAUAACUUGAUCAUUAUCUAUGAACGAACCUGAAUUGGUUUGGGCAGGCUGUGGUUGGGGUUGAAUUGGUGCAUAUGGUCUUUGAUAUAUCCCAGUGGGUGGCUGUCGAAAACCUUCUUGUUGUUGAGGGUCACUCUACCUAAAAUUUGGGUGAUCUCUCCAUCCCGGAUUGUAUGUAUUUGAGUAUGGAUCAUUCUUUUGCUGAUUUUGGCCUUGAAACUCAAUAACGUUGGCACUUUCCCAUCCUCCAUUCUCAAUCAAUUGAGGGCAAUUUUUAGAUUGGUGCCCUUGGAUAGAGCACACGCCACAAACUAUAUUUUCUUGCACUUUGGGUCUUUCAACAACCUGUGACACAAGAAAAGUGAGAUUAGCCAAUUGGGAUUAAAUUUCAAAAAUUGUACUUACUUCAUUCACAUGUGAUACGAAAUAUAUAAGCACACAAAUUAAACCCUCUUUUUAUCAAAUGUAGUAAAGUAUGUAAGUAGGGAUCAUUCUAGGCCGGGGAUUAGGAGGGAUUGCUAAAUCACUUGGCAACUGACUUGAAAACGUAAAAACAAAGUUUAAAACACUAAACUAGACUCAAAGAAUGCAAAACUAUACUUUAAAAUACUAAGAUAAACAAAAAGAUUCAAAACAGCAACCAAAGACUCAAAACUGCCUUAAAAACACUUUCUGGGCAGUUUUGGGACUCUAACACAAACUUGGACGAAUUUUGGUUUUCUAAUGAACUAAAACACUUAAAAACAUAAUAUAAGACAAGUUCUAAUUAAUAUGACUCAAAGAAAUAAGAUGGGGUUGAUUUUGGACGAAAAUAAUUAAAUUAAGACAAGAACAAAGUAAAUAGAUUCUUAGACAAAUUUGGGUGAAUCAAAACACUUAAAAACACAAACUAAAGUGAUUACUAACUAAUCUAACACUUUGAAAUAAAUGGGAGAUUGGUUCUUGACGAAUUUGAAAACAAAACAAACUUUGUAAAACAAAACAGAUUGUAAAUGAAUUUGAAUGAAACUUAUGGAUGGAAGGCUAGCUAGGAGGUUCUUCUCCACACAUGUCACACUUGCAUACAAAACGAUUUCCAGUUGCUUUUCGAUAAACUAUGAAUACUCAACGCCCUAAAUUAACCGUGAAUUGCACUAAUUAACCCUCAGUUUUUCCACAAGUUAUUGGGUUGGAUGAUUGCAUACGACAACCCAAAACAUUCCUUACAAGUUCCCUACAUGAAUUACAUAAUAGAGAUACAAGCAAGAAUCAUUAAGUUCUAUGAAAAACAUAAGCAUUGACGAGGCACUCGUUACUAUGAUUUGCAUGAAACUUAUGCCAAGAAUUUACUUAACGUGAUUGUGACUAGCAACCUUCACUACUUGUGAAUAUAAGUUCAUAACGAUUAGGUGAAACUCCCUUAUAUUCUAGCGUCAAAUUCAUGCAUGAAAAUUAAGCGUGCACUCUCAACCAACAUACACAAAUCAGUUUUUAUACGAACGGAUAAGUAAAUUGAAUUCACAACUUAUGAAUCACAACUGGAUGUAAUCAAAUCAUAUUGCAAGCAUGAACAUAGUUUCAAAUCACCCCCUAACUAAGAGGGGUUUAGUUCCUCAUACUCACAAAGCAAAGAUGCAUAAAUUUAGACAUUAAAAACAAAGAUAGAAAACACCUAGAAACGCUCCAACAGUCCCAAGGCUUGGGCUUAGGCACGGCACCAGGGUUCUUCUUCUUUCUCCUUCCUUGCAAGCUGCGGCACUAGAGGUUUUGGACAGGUUUUGGGUGGUUUUUAUGGUGUAGAAUGGAUGGGGAAUGGUAUGGAAAUGUUUAGGGUUGAUGGGUGGUGUGGCUAGGGGUGAUUUUUGGCUGAAUUUGGAGAGAAUGGUGGUGGAGAACUCACGGCAAAGACAAGGAUUAAAAUCUGUUCCCUAUGAUGAAUAUGGGAGGUGGUAUUUAUAGGCUUGAGAGAGGACCACUCCAUUUCCUUUGCAUGUGCAGCUUGUGUGGGUGUGAGUUGUCAUGUUUCCCCUUUACAUUUAUACACACAUGCUUCAUCAUUUCAACCACAAAACACACCAAUUUUCUGCCCAUGCCAUAUGCUUUUCUUCCACUUUGCAAGUGGGUUUGCUGCCAUGUUUCUUUGCUUUGCCAUUACACUUUCACACAUACAUGUUCUUUGCAUCAUUUCAACCACAAAACACACACUUUCGGCCAUGUUUCUCCUUUACAUUUGCACACACACAUGCUUCAUCAUUUCAACCACAAAACACACCAAUUUUCUGCCCAUGCCGUGUGCUUUUCUUCCACUUUGCAUGUGGGUUUGCUGCCAUGUUUCUUUGCUUUGCCAUUACACUUGCACACAUACAUGUUCUUUGCAUCAUUUCAACCACAAAACACACACAAUUUCUGCCCAUGCUGUGUGCUUCCAUGUGUGUGCUGCAACAUUCUUUUCUUUGCCAUGUGUUUGCUGCAACAAGGGAUUUAUUUAAAGGGAUAAAGGAAAUAAAACCCUAGGUUAACUAGGUAAACAGAAAUUAAGUCUAAAGCUUCUACAAUUUAGGGAAACAAAUAAAAAAUUUAAAGGAAAUAAGCUAAAAGGUGUGGCAAGGCUUUAAAGUAGAUUAGGAAAGUGUUUAAAUGCAAGAUAUAGGAAAGAAUGACUCUUCCUUGCACGGAAAGGAAGAGUAAUGGCAAGGGUGGAGCACACGGCUGGUUGCUUAUUUUUGAACACUUCGUUCUUUAUUUGUCUUGAAUCCAAUUAUUCACAUCAUCAUUCAAUCCUAUGCUCAUUUGAUCUUCAAUUUCGUCCAUCUUCUUACUUCCAAGCAUAUGCAAUCCAUUUGAUGCACAAAAACUGCUCCAAACGACUCCAAAAUGCACAUGUAUGCAUACUUUGUCCUUAAAACCUGAAAACACAUAAAAGUGACUUUAAACACUAAAAUAACUAAAGAAAUACAACGUAAACGUACGAGAACAAGCCAAUUAAGUCGCAUAAAAAUGCUCCUAUCAAAUUCCCCCACACUUAGCUUUUGCUAGUCCUCGAGCAAACAAAGAAAUAAAACGAAACAAGACAAAUAAAACACAACCUAAACCUUCCAACAAUUGCCUCAGGGAUUUCCAAUGCACAUGACAUGUUAAAACACUUCCCCCACACUUGUUUUUUGCCAAACAUUACUCAAAAGGAAUUCAAUUUGAAUCAUUCUUUACUAUGCUUUAAGAACAAGGGUAUAGAUGGUCCUAAUCUAGGCUAGGUGGAGAUGAUGUGAUUAACAAAGAAAAACAGGCUCAACAAGGCUCAACGGGGUUUACCCUUGAACAUAUAAUGAAGUAGUAAAAUGGAAAUUUGGCUAAGGUGGUGGUCACUACACAACUUCUUCUUGAAUAUGUGUUAUGCAAAUCAAUAGCAUGUUUUGAAUGAAAUGGGCAUGAGUUCUAGAAUUUGGAACUAAAUGAUGAAACGCCUUCUAAGUAGUAACCAAGCAAAGAAUAAUGAGAUCAUGCAACGACUUAGAAAACAAUAAUGCACAAAUUAUCAACUCUCCAAAUAACGUUUAGGCUCAAGUCUCACAAGGUUGUAGCAUUUGUUUGAGUUCCUUCCUUCAAGCAUGUUACAAAAACUAAUUUUUCCUUUAUGAUUGCAUGUGAAUUCAUAAAUUAUAACCACAACCAAGCAUACACCAAAGAGUAAAUCAAAUGUUCAUCCAUGUUUAUAACUCUCUUUAACAGUCAUGUAAUUAAAAACCAAAUCCUCAUCAUUGUGUUGGAAGGUACCCUAAGACACAAAUAAACAUACAAAAACAACUCUUUUUGGGUUUUUCAAAACAAUUUUUUCAAAUUUUUAUGGGAUUUUUGGAUUUUUAUGUCAAAACACACUGAAACACUCCAAAACAGCUUGAAAACACUUAAAAGAGCAAGGAACAACAUUAGAAGUAAUGGGUGAUAAACUCCUACAAAUUUCAUGCAAAACAAUGGUUACCCCCCCCCCCCACACUUAAUUCAAACAUUGUCCUCAAUGUUUCAAGCAUAAACUCACACAAAAACAAGCAAAUAAACAAACAACGAAUAAACAUGACAAGUAUAGCAAAGUAAACAAAAAAAUAGACAUAGUAGAGUUUAAGAACGCAAAUCUGGUUUUGGAGAUAGAUGAUCUUGUUGACUUUCCACAGCUUUGAUCUCUAACUGGUUUGGAAUUCUGAGCGAGGAAUAUCAGAGUUCCUUAGUUUCAAAUCAGACUCCUUCUGCUGGGUUGAUUUGAUUGUGCAAUCUUCAUUCUUCUCUGCUUGUUUCUUCUGCACGGCAAGCAGACACGAGGUAGAGGUGUUGGUCUAUUUCUUUCUUCAAUCUUUCCAAGUGCCCACCUCUUGCUUUUUUUCUCCUUAUCCCUAGUUGAGGAUGAAUUGGUAAAUUGUCUCCACAUGCUUCGAGGUAUCAUUUUCACUUCCCUUAUCUGUUCCCCAGGCAGAUGUGGUAGACGAAGCGGAAGCAUAAGAGGAUGAAGAUAAGUACUCGAGAGUAAAGCUAGGUAAGCAAUCAGGAAGGGGUUCCAGGCAGUCGGUUCUAGAUCGGAAGAUUGAUACCAAGUGCUGGCUGAUUACUCACUUUCUCCUUGUCCUAAAACAACGACAAGGAGAAGGACAGGGAGCAAGCAUGAUAUGAGAUACUCUUUCUUUCAACCUUCAUGAUAUGAAAUACUUUUGCUUUUGAUGGGUUGUUUGCAGAGGUACCCCAAGGAAUAAGGAACACUGAGUGACUCGAAAGGGUUUGUUGGAAAGGCAUUCUCGGAGACGACGGAAGGUUAUGUAUGUCUGCCUUGCCAUGGAGGGUGAAGGUCGACAUUUAUAGGAAAUAAUAACUGGUACUGUUCUUUCACUCCUGUCGGCAACCGUUGGAUGAUUGAACAGUAAACUUCACGUGUUUUCUACUUCAACAGAAAUCGUCGAUAGAUUGCCCGUGAUUUCCUCAAAGCUGACGAGGCUGAGAAAGAUAGAUGGUUGGAAUCGGCGCUUCGACAAACUGCCCGUGAUUUCCGUAAAGCUUUCUCUGCAUGUGACAAGUGCUGACGAGGCUGAGAGAGACAGGCGCAUCUUCGCUAUCUGAGAUCGAUGUUUCGACAAAUUUUCUGUGAUUUUCGCAAAGCUGAGUUUGCGUGUGACGGGUGCUGACGAGGCUGAGAAAGCUGACACUCUUCGAUAUCUGGAAUCGGUGGUUUGUGAGCAAGCCCAACUUUUGAGAAAGCUGGCGCCUCUUCGAUUUUUUAAUUGGCUUCUUCGAUUUCUGAGCUCGCCUCUUCGAUCUCUGAAAUCCUAUCGCGUGCUGAUUUUUAUAGAGGUAUGCAGGACGUUCAAAGCACGCUUGAAUUUCUGCCUGUAAAAACUCCCGUUUUGCACUUCUACGAUCUUGACUUGUCCGAUCUCCUCUUUCUUUAACACCUCUGAAAAAUGUCUGGCCCUUCCGACCGUCGUUUUAACUUGAACCUUGAUGAAGAGGCAGCCCCGCCUUCUCCAGACAACAUAUGGCGCCCAUCCUUCAAAUCCCCUACUGGUCCCCUUACCGUUGGGGAUUCGGUGAUGAAGAAUGAUAUGACAGCUGCGGUGGUGGCCAGAAACCUUGUCACUCCCAAAGAUAACAGACUACUUGCCAAAUGGUCUGAUGAGUUGGCUGUUAAGGAAUCUCUGGCUCUCAGUGUGCAGUGCGCAGGUUCCGUGUCCAAUAUGGCCCAACGCCUAUUUGCUCGACCCUGUCAAGUUGAAUCAUUGGCGGCUGAAGUGAUGAGUCUAAAGCAGGAGAUUAGAGGGCUUAAGCAUGAAAAUAAAAAAUUGCACAGGCUCGCACAUAAUUAUGCUACAAACAUGAAGAGGAAGAUUGACAGAUGCAGGAAUCUGAUGGUCAGAUUUUACUUGAUCAUCAGCGGUUUGUGGGUUUGUUCCAACAGCAUUUGCCUUCGUCUUCUGGGGCUGUACCGUGUACUGAAGCUCCAAAUGAUCAACCUUCGCUGCCUCCUCCUUCUGGGGCUCCGCCAACUGCUGAGGCUACGCCGACUACUGAGACUUCUCCUAAGCAGCCUUUGUGAAGGCUCCCUCUUGUAAUUUCUGCUUAAUGUUCCUUUUCUACAAAAAUCAAUGAAAAAGCAUCUUGUUUACCAAAAAUCCACACCAAAAGAAAUAAAAAUGACAAACAAGGUAAAAAAAAACGUAGUAAAUGGAAGGUUUUUAGAAACGUAAAACCGAUUGUGAAGCGAUUCAUAGAUCUUCCUUAUUUGAAUACAUGGGUUGCCUCCCAAGAAGCGCUUGCUUUAACGUCGUGCAGCCGGACGAAGAACGCAAUUACUCCCCAUUGGAGCCCACGGCAUGCAAGGGAAUGUUCUCCACGACAUGCUCCUCAAAAUGCUCAUAAUAGGGCUUCAAUCGAUACCCAUUCACCUUGAAUUCAUGUCCCGUUUUCAAGCUUUGGAUCUGGACUGCACCAUGAACAAAAACAUUAGUAAUAACAAACGGUCCAAUCCACUUAGAACAUAACUUAACGGGAAAUAACCGUAGACGGGAAUUGAACAAUAGCACUUUCUGCCCUACGGAGAAUGUUUUGCCUCGAAUCAUCUUAUCAUGGAAAACUUUGGUCUUCUCCUUGUAAAUGCUAGCAUUCUCGUACGCUUCAUGCCUUAUCUCAUCAAGUUCAUUUAGUUGCAACUUCCUAUGACUCCCUGCGGCAUUUAGGUCCAUAUUGAACUUCUUGAAGGCCCAAUGAGCUUUGUGUUCCAAUUCAACAGGGAGAUGGCACGGCUUGCCAUAGAUGAGCCGAAAUGGGGACAUACCAAUGGGUGUCUUGUACGCCGUACGAUAUGCCCAAAGUGCAUCAUCUAACCGUAAGCUCCAAUCCUUCCUUGUAGGCCCAACGGUCUUCUCUAGAAUUUGUUUGAUCUCACGGUUGGAAACCUCGGCUUGGCCAUUCGUUUGAGGAUGGUAAGGUGUAGAAACCCUAUGGUUGACAUUGUAUUUCCUCACUAACGCCUCUAUGGUCCGGUUGCAAAAAUGCGAUCCUCCAUCACUUAUGAUGACACGUGGCAUGCCAAACCUUGCAAAAAUGUUAGUUUUAAUAAAAUCUGCAACCACUUUAGAGUCAUUAGUCCGGGUGGCUUUAGCUUCCACCCACUUCGACACAUAAUCAACCGCAAGCAAAAUAUACAUGAAACCAUACGAGGAAGGAAAGGGACCCAUAAAAUCAAUUCCCCAAACAUAAAAAAUUUCAACAUUAAGGAUAGAAACUUGCGGCAUUUGAUCCCUAGCACCUAUGUUACCCAUUCUUUGGCAUUUAUCACAUGUUAAGCAAAAAGUUCUAGCAUCCUUAAAGAUACUAGGCCAAUAGAACCCACAUUGUAACACCUUAAGUGCUGUUCUUUGUGUGCCAAAGUGACCACCACAUGCAUAUGUGUGACAAAAACUUAAAAUUGAACGAAAUUCAGAAUCAUGCACACAUCGACGUACAAUCUGAUCCGGGCAAAAUUUCCACAAAUAUGGAUCAUCCCACACAUAAAACCGUGCAUCAUCCCUAAGUUUAUCACGUUGGUGCCUAGUGAAAGUGCUUGGAAUUUGUUUUGACACCAAAAAGUUCACCAAAUCGACAUACCAAGGCUCACUAACCUUUAUGGACAACAAUUGUUCAUCGGGGAAUGUCUCGACAAUGGGUAGGGACUCCUCAUUAUGCACCAUGCGGCUUAGGUGGUCAGCCACCACGUUCUCACUUCCUUUCUUGUCACGAAUCUCAAUAUCGAACUCUCGAAGUAGCAACAUCCAACGAAUUAGCCGCGGUUUGGCUUCCUUUUUAGUGAGCAAGUAUUUCAAAGCUGCAUGGUCAGUGAAAACAAUUACUUUAGUCCCAAUUAAAUAUGAUCUAAACUUAUCUAAAGCAAAAACAACGGCAAGAAGUUCUUUUUCCGUAGUGGAAUAGUUCAACUACGCAUCAUUCAACGCCCGUGAGGCAUAGUAGAUGACAUGCGGCCUCUUGUCCUUCCUUUGUCCCAAAACAGCUCCUAACGCAUAAUCGGACGCAUCACACAUAAGCUCGAACGGUAGGCUCCAAUCCGGUGGGACAAUGAUUGGUGCCGUAGUGAGUAGGUCCUUGAGAUGGUUGAAUGCUUGCUCACACGCCUCGUUGAACUCAAACGACACUUCUUUUUGUAGGAGACGGCAUAGAGGUUGUGCAAUCUUGGAAAAGUCUUUGAUAAAUCGUCGAUAGAAUCCUGCAUGACCAAGAAAAGAACGAACCUCUCUCACUGAAGUAAGAGAGGGUAAGUAGCGUACAAGAUCUAUCUUAGACUUAUCAACUUCAAUUCCUUUUUCAGAGAUUAUAUGACCCAAAACAAUACCUUGUUUAACCAUAAAAUGGCAUUUCUCCCAAUUUAACACAAGGUUUGUUUCCACACAACGUUUCAAGAUUAAAGUGAGAUUAUCUAAGCAAUUAUCAAAUGAACUACCAAACACACUAAAAUCAUCCAUGAAUAUCUCAAUAAUCCUUUCAACAUAAUCAUAAAAUAUGCUAACCAUACACCUUUGAAAUGUCGUAGGAGCAUUGCACAAACCGAAUGGCAUGCGUCGAUAUGCAAACGUUCCAAAGGGACAAGUAAAAGUGGUCUUUUCUUGAUCAUCCGGGGCAAUGACAAUUUGAUUAUAACCAGAGUAUCCAUCAAGAAAACAAUAAAAGGAAUGACCUGCUAACCUUUCAAGCAUUUGAUCUAGGAACGGCAAUGGGAAAUGAUCCUUCCUUGUGGUGGCGUUUAGCUUCCUAUAAUCAAUGCAUACUCGCCAACUGGUUUGGAUUCGUGUGGGUACAAGCUCAUUCUCCGCAUUCUCCACAACCGUCACUCCAGAUUUCUUGGGUACGCAUUGAAUAGGUGAAACCCAAUGGCUAUCGGAGAUAGGAUAGAUCACUCCACAAUCAAGGAGCUUGAUUAUCUCCUUUUUCACAACUUCCAUCAUUGGAGGGUUGAGACGGCGUUGAGCCUCUCUAGUUGGUUUGGCCCCCUCCUCAAGAAAUAUGUGAUGCAUGCACGUUGUAGGGCUUAUACCCUUGAUAUCGGCCAAGGUCCAUCCUAGGGCAGAUUUGAACUCCUUCAAGACUCAAACUAGUUUCUCUUCUUCUUAUGCCGUGAGGAAUGAAGAUAUGAUGGCAGGUAGGGUCUCAUUUUCUCCCAAGAAAAUGUACUUCAAAUGGCUUGGUAAUGGUUUGAGUUCAAGGACAGGUGCCUGAAUUAUUGAUGGAAGCAACUUGUUAGUUGAAAUGGGAAUGGAAUCGAAGUUAGGAGACUUACCACCAUGCUUAGGUAAUGACUCAAGGGCAGCAACCAACUCAAUGAAUUCCUCACUAUAAGCCAUGGUAUGGAAUGGUUCAUGCAUGCCGUGGGUUAGCAUAUGGUUUGCAUCCAUGGUUUUGAGUUCCAUGCCUCUUGUAAUGACUUUUUCAAGCACAUCGUCAUUCAAAUCUUCAAGAUAUCCCUGCGCCAAAGAGUCAAUUAUAUCAAUAGAGAAACAUGAAUGGUCCUCACUAGGGUACUUAAUAGAAUCUGAAAGAUUGAAACUAACAACUUCCCCAUCAAAUUCCAUGGACAAAGUUCCAUUAAACACGUCGAUUUUAGUCCGAGCCGUUUUCAUGAAUAGCUUUCCAAGGAGGAUGGGCACUGAAGGGGUAUGGUCCGAUUCAUCCAUUUCGAGGACAUAGAAAUCCGCCGGAAAGAUUAAGUGAUUUACCUGCACAAGAACAUCUUCCAAAACUCCCUUUGGAUAGGCGUUAGAUCUAUCGGCCAAUUGUAUGAUUACACCAUCAUUUUUCAACACUCCUAAAUUCAUAGAUGCAUAAAUUGAGUAUGGCAUAACAUUUAUAGAAGCACCUAAAUCUAACAUGGCAGAUUCAAAGCGAGUGUUUCCAAUGACACAAGGAAUUGUAAAACUACCCGGAUCUUUGCAUUUGGGGGGUAGUUUGCGUUGCAAGAUGGCGGAUACAUUUUCACCUACCUUGACAACCUCCUUGGUCGACAUCCUCUUCCUAGUAGUGCACAAUUCCUUUAGAAACUUGGCAUAUCUCGGGACUUGCUUGAUUGCAUCCAAAAGGGGUAUGUUGACUUGAACUUUCCUAAAUGUCUCAAGGAUGUCCUUUUUAGCUUCCUCCUUUGUUUGCAUAAACCUACUAGGAAAAGGGACAUUCGAAGGAAAAACAUUAGUAGGAAGUGAAUUUGACACAUUCUUACCCUUCUUGGCCGAAUUGGACAGAUUUGGGCUUAUGGAAGCUUGCGGCAAGGGUGUGUCCACCUUUGCCGUGGGUGGGCUUGUGUCCUCCUCUUCUAAUUGUAGUUUUUUAUCUUUUUUGAAGCCUGAUGUAGAUGGUUUAGGAUCUGCCCCAACUUCUUUUCCACUUCUCAACAAUAUGGCUUCUGCACUUUCGAAACCUCCUUUGGAUUUGGAAUGGUAGAACUAGGAAGUUGGCCUGGGUCUCAAAAUUUGCUCACAAAGUCUGCAAUCUGCCCAAUUUGUUUCUCCAAUUGAUCCACCCUUUUGUCUUGGCUUUGCAUAGCUUUGAUUUGAUUUUCUUGCCCCUGAGACAAGUUAGUUAGUAACUUAAGGAGUGUAUCAUUGUCUAGAGAUGUACCUGAAGCAUUUGGGGCAGAUUGUUGUGGAAAAUGUGGGGGUGAUUAUGGCUUGGUGAAAAGCCCCGGGGGUUGUUGCCUAAAGCCUCCUUGUUGUUGGGGUUGUUGUGAAGGAAUAUUUUGUGAAAACAUGUUCAUUUGAAUAACAUCUAUAGCAUGCUAAUAACAAUUAAAACGCGGAAUCAUGCUUGCAUGCAUUCAAAAACAAAACAUUAACCAAGAAAUUCAAAGCCUAGUAGAUUGGUGAACCAUUAAUCAACUCAAAACAAAGUGAGUUGAGAUUUAUACCUUUGUAGAUUCCUCUUUGCAUAAGCAAAGGCUAAUCACCCAAAGAGAGGGCCUUCAUUCCUUGCAUCUAAAGCCUAUGGAUUUGGAUGGAAGAAUAGGUUUCUCCAAGUUCCCAAAAAUUGAGAACCUCUAAGUCUCUUCACCAAAGAGAGAUUUGGAGAAAGAAAUGAGUGACCUUGGAGUAGUGGGAUUGCAAGAUGCACCCCCAAGGUGGCCGGCCUCUUUAGAGAGAAAUGGAGAGACAAGUUCUCACCAAUUUUCUCCAAAAAAAACCCUAAUGAAUUUAGGCUAUAAAGUCAUAUUUAUACCUUUAUUCAUUUGAGUGGCAAACUUGUAAAUAAGUCCAAAGUUCACUACCCUAAACAUCAUGGCCGGCCUUGGGGUAUUUUUGGGUUGUUUGGGCCUUUGUGAAUCAUUAUUCAUUAAGUUGUCAUACAACUUAAGUUAAUGGGCUUGACGUUCGAAGCCCAUUGGGCCUUAAGGUCCAAAACUAUCCCGAGGUCUUUAACGAACUUAUUCGUUUGAUUAAUUAACAUAUUUAAUUAAUCCUUGCCAUAAAUAAAUGAUUAAACCAUUUAAUCAUUCUUACUUAUCUCCAUUGUUUCUUCAAUCUCCUCCUUACACGGUGUGCGAUCCAUUAGGUUCCUUUAAGUGAGGCAGUGGGCGAUUAAAACCAUUUACAUCGAUUGUGAAUUGAAACUUACUUUCAAUUUCUCCCUUUAGUGAUUACACACAUUUAGGGCUUCCACAAACCAUGAGUGACACCUUGCAGCAUAUCAUGGUUUACCCAAGCUAAUCAGAAGAGGUAGAGAAAACCUAUUCAAUUUGGGAUUACAAAUGCAAUACGGUCUUUCUCUAAUACAAUACUCUUGACCACAUUGUUUGGUUUGAUAGUUUAUUUAUUCAUGUCUUACUAUCCAAUGUUGAUUCGUGUGCUUAUAUGAUUACCUUGAAUGUGAUUUGGAACAUUUUCCUAAAUCUCAUUCAUACUUUGGCCAAAGAUUCUUAAUCAUAUCAUAGAGUAUUUCUCCCUCAAACAGUUUGAAGGUUAGAGAUCCCUUGUUGCGCAUUCACUUGCCUCCAUGACUAAGUGGCUUAACCCCCAACGAUGCCGUGGACACUCCAAUGGAAUGACGUUUGACAUAAUCAAAGAUCAAGGACUUAACCACAAGACAAACUGUUGAUGCCUCAGGUCAAAGGACUACUUUGCAUUAUCCCAACCAUGAGUUCUCAUGUGACAUGAGUAUGAGAACUCUUCGUUGAUCGCGUUCAGUGAACUCAUUCUCUACUGAGCACCUACGUACUUGUCUUGAUGUCACACACACCAAUGACACGAGACUAGUCACUCUCCCUGAGAGAAGACAUAGCACGUUUACCGAUCUUGACGGACUGUCAAUGCCCAAUUGGCAAUCCUAUGAUCAGGAACAUUUAGGAUGUGUCUACGAAAGAAUGGUCUCAUGAAUCUAACUUCAUUUAGAUUACAUUCUCCCAAUCACAUAUUCCUUGGACUUUAUCGUUUAAGCAUAUAACAUUUAUAUGAGACGGCUCAAACAAUAAUCUUUGCCUUUUAUAGUUAAACUAGAUUAGUUUUAACAUGUGAAAUGUCCGUAAAGUAUCAUCAUAUGAUUGGAUUUAGGGCACAUUUCCAACAAUCUCCCACUUGCACUAGAGCCAAAUCAGCUUUGGUCAUCAGUGAUGAUACCUCUUCUGUAGUCAUUUCAUAAAUGGCUGAGUAGUAGGCCUAGGCAAUGGAUAUCUUAUAUGUUAUCCAUAGAAGCAACCUUGAGAAUAACGACGUCACCAUUAUACAUGAUUCUCAAAUCAUGUGGUUCAGUCUCUCAUUUCAGUUCGGACUUGAUGAGACCUUGAUUCCCUGGCUUGAGCUAUCGCCCCAUUAGUGUCAUACAUUUUCUGGUUGGAACCGAAUAGAGAGUUCAUAAAUGAACUUUCCCAUCCAAUCAACAUUGUUGUAAGCUUCUUUAUGGCAAUAUAUUUUCCAUUCAUAAUGGAACACACUAAAGUCAUUACUUUUAAUGUUUCCAUCCAAAUAUCUCUUUAGUCAUAAUAAAGAGAUAUCCGUUUAUCUCUUCAUUCAUAAUGAAGAAAACAUCCAAUGAUGGAUUAGAUUCAUAAAUCUAAUAUAUUUACGCUUCCUUUACGUUACUCUAAUUCUUCCUCAUUCUUUGAGGAAUCUAUCCUUUAGUAUUUCUUAAAUACUUAAGGACUCACUUGACAGUUGCCAUGGUUCUGAUCCUGGGCUUGCACUGAUAUCGUCUUGUACCUUUCCAAGGUACAACUCAUAUCAAUGUUUUUUCAUAUAAUAUGAAAUACAUAAAUCACCUUUCUGCGUAUGCAUAAAGGAUUCUAUUUACGCAUUAUUUCUUUGGGAGUCAAAAGGGCACGUUCCCUUUGAGAAGGGCAACUUGCUAGUCACACUAGAGUCAUCCUUCUAAUUUGAAGUUUAUUCAUUAUAUGAGAAAACUUCCUAGCAACUUUUGUCUAUUAUUAGGGAUUGAUACAAUCAAAUUAUAUCUUGAAAUCUAUCAAUAUAGAUUUCCAUCCCAUGUAUAUAGACUAUGUCUCCCGUAUACAUUCUAUCGUUAUAGAAUGCUUAAAGUCAUAACUUUAACGAAGAAAUAUUCUUUUCACUUCCAAAAUUAAUAUAUCAUAUAUAUAUUCAUACAUAUCACAUAUAUAUUUAUAUAUAUAUAUAUAUAUAUAUAUAUAUAUACAAAUUUAGGAAUAUGAUUAACUCCCACUAAUCUUUUGUAAAACCUAGUAAACAAAAAGAUUCAUUUACAUCUUUAUGAGAAAGCAAACGAUUUGACCUUUCUCUCAUAAGACGCUUAUAGCUCCCACUAGCUUGCUAAGAUCCAUGAUGGAUGGAUCUCUACAACUUACAUGUCUUGUGAUUCAUAUUUUUAGACAUAUAUUAUCAAGACUAUCUUAAUAAUGGUUUCGGAAACCUAUAUUAUGUCCAAACAUUGAAUCACCAUUUAAUUGUAGCUAGCAAUCUUCGAAUUAAUUGAAACUAAGACUACGUCAAAAAUGGUUCCUUCAAAGUCAACCAUUCUCUUUGAUUGUAGUCACCUUAAGCUACCAAUUAGCUUGUGAAGGUUUCAUUAUUUCGGGUCAAAUGGUACUUACCAUUCCCAUGAGUAUAUAUCGUAUAUGCACUCAAUGUAGUCAUAAGGAUUUUCAUUCUUAUUUCUUUCGAAUUAAGAGGUGCAACUCUAUGACAUAGUCAUAAAGUUCAAACCAUUCAACUGAGACGGUUUAUAAAUCCUUCUCGACUACCUUGGAGCUUUUGGUAUAGGAACUAGGUUGUUAUAUUUGUUGAUUAUUAUCUUGUCUCUCAAAGAACCAUUCUUUGAGUUCUAUCCCUCGUGCAUUUGCUCUUAGGCAAAUCACAUUGUAGGAUUACAAUGAACUACCCAACAAAACAACAUUUGUUAGUUGGUUUAUAGAAGCGAUAUCCAAAAGUUAAUUUAAGGAUAUCCCACAAGAUGUUAUCAAACAAAUAUUACUUAUUAGCACACAACCCCAAAUCUUAACAUGCUUGAGAUUUGUCUUUCUUUCCAACUACAUCUUAUGGAGUUAUGAAAUUUUUUUGGAAGAUCUUCUAAUUUACAAUCAUAUUGUUUUAGAAGUAUAUAUAUCCUAUAAUGGGUAAUAGAUAACAACUAACGAACUAAAUCUUAUUCGAGUUCGUUCUUCUCCUAAUGGAGAAAUACAUUAUCUUAUGAUGCUACUUUCCUUGAAUGUCUUUCAUGGAAACUCAUCUAAAGUGUUACUUUUCCUUGGAUCAAAUCUAAGGAGGUAAAUACUUUAGACGUCUUACUCAUUAACUUACAUUUCUUGAAUUCUUUGAAACCUUUUGUAAAGUAUUCGGACUUGUGUUUAUUCAAAAUAAACUAUAGUCCAACCGAGAGUGAUCUUCGGUGAAUGUCAUAUAACAUGAGUAGUAUUAUGUUUGUGGACAAGUGCCACUAACAUCUAAGUGAAUUAACCUCAACAACUUUGUGAUUCUUUCUUCUUUCCAAAAGAAUACAGAUUCGAACAUUUCGCCUCUAUACAAUUUUAACAAGAAGAUAUUGGAUCCGGAUCUAACGAUCCAAAGCGUCCAUCUAUGACCAACUCGUAAUUUAUGUUUUAGAGGUAUUACAACUUUAGUUGGGAUUAGUCACUACCUUGCAACCUUUUGGGUUUUAAGCAUCAUUAUAUUCUAAACAGUUAACACCACCAUAUUAUCUCUACUAUAGAGACAAUCAAUUAGAUUACCAUAAUCCAAUCAUUGAUUAAUAAAGAACAUUGUUUUGUCAAACAAAACAUUUAUCCAUUUCACAUAGUGACGGAAUUUAGUUCCUUAAAAUUGGAAUAUAAAGACAAUCUAUGUUUUUCCAAUUUCUUUGGUAGUUCAUAUGAGGAAGUAUGUACCAUCUGCUUUCGCAGAGAUCUACAUUUGAUUCACGUUUCGAAUUUGAAGUACUUUCUCUUCUCUCAUUAAUCUUCUACUUCUUAUUAGCCAUACUUUUACAACGAUUGUAAAACAUAGUUACUAAUACGGAAUCAAGCAUUCAAGUAGAAGAACCAACUGUUUUGAACUAUUCAAGAACAAUUUCCAACACCUUCGAAAGGUGUGUUCUUGACACUUGCAAGACAUUUCUUGCAAAUACCCCUUCCAAUGUCUAUCCUUUCAUAAAGAAAGUUUGUUCCCUUGGAGUUAAUUUUAUCUUCUUCAUUUGACUUCUCCUUUGACUACAAUAGUCAUGGUCCCUAAACUCCCACUAUCUCUCUUGAAACUUAUUUCAAUUGUGUUAUGCACAUUAAACAUUUUGGAGAGCAUGUGGUUAUUGUUCACUAUAUAGUUUACAAUAAACUUAGUGAACCAUAAGGAUAGGGACACAAAGGUGAAGUCCUUGCCUAGUUUCCGUCUCAUUAAGUGGUUUAUCACUUCAACACUUAAUGAUUCAAAAUCAUCAUAAGUCCAUGUUCAUGGACUAUUUUUGUCAACCAACCAUUAUGUUCUAAACAUAAUUACAAACCUUCAAGAGUUGUACAAGGCAACUCUCAUUUCUUCAUACAACAAUUUGUAAGUGAAGAAAUCAUGGCACAUAAAGUGGUCCAUGCCUUUGUGCUUUCUUCUGAAGUUCUUUGUUCAUUUAAACAAAGAAACAAGCACUAGUGUUUGCAUUGACUAAGGGUUGUUCAAAGCAACUAUUAUUUCUUCAUACAACAAUUUGUAAGUGAAGAACUAAUAACACUAAAAGUGUCCUUGUCAUUAUGCUAAUCUUCGUAAGUUCCUUUCUUCAUUUAACAAAGGAUUAAGCAUUGGUUGUUUGUUGUUGUCCUCUUCAUGAUAGACUUUCUCUAACAUGUUCUUCCAAUGAUACAUUAUCAUUAGGAAGAUUGUGAGGAUGAGACUACUUAGAACAUAUGCCAUCUUUAUAAGACAUUUCUUUGGGAUUGUUGGUACUAAGUCCGGAAACUAAAACAUUCGGUUUUAUUGUCAAGUGUUGGAUAGCGUUUGCAAAUAUUUGGUAAACAAAUACAUAACGAAUAUAAAUUGAUUUGAUUUUAAGCCAUUUGAUCCGGGUCUUUAAAUCAAAUAGCACCACCCACUAUUUUUGGCAAAAUUCCAUUAUCCCUCAAAGGAAUUCGAGAGUUUUGGAUGAAACUCCUAGUAGGUUAUGGGAGGCUCACUAUUACCAAGCCGACCUCACGAUGACCGAUGUUUGGCUAGCAACCAAUAAUAAUGAGAGAGUACGCUUACUCAUUUGCAACUAAUGCAAGUACCCAUCUUAUUUGGCCUCUAGAGAAUGUAACCUCACAAAUGAUAUGAUGUUGGCUCCAUUGUACUUAGUUAAGUCAUUCCCACCAUGCUUAGUGCGUGAAGGGUUCAAGAAUAGCCUCACGAUGAUACGAUGUCGGCCAUCCUCGUUGCCUACACUCACCUCAUCAUAUGUGUAUGGAUUCCUCCUGAGUAUAAGCAUGCACUUUGUACUCCCCCAUGAUAGGGUGAAGCCGGUGUACAAGUCAUAAACGAUUGGAUCCCACCACGGUGGGAAGGCCUACGAAAGAGUGUUUCUAAGCACUCUCACGCUUAUCAAACUUAAUAAUGGUUUGGUUGAGGUUUUAGGUCUCAUCACAUAUAAAACAUUACAUUUAAUCUCUAUUAAAACUAAUUUUGGUCCUAUUACAACUAUUGGUCCAUAUUGAUUGUUUUUAGUUGUAUAUAAUACUCCCACUAUGCUUAUAAAAAAACGGUUUUUUUAAAGCAAGAGUAUAUGAUACUACUAGCAUAACCUUUGCAUUCAUUUGAUGGACUAUAUAGUUGCCUUAGGGCCUUAGGAUG